UACGGAGGGUGCAAGCGUUGUCCGGAAUCACUGGGCGUAAAGGGCGCGUAGGCGGCCUUGCGAAGUCGGUUGGUGAAAGCCCGGGGCUCAACCCCGGAGGUGCGGCCGAGACUGCAGGGCUGGAGGCCGGAAGAGGAGGGUGGAAUACCCAGUGUAGAGGUGAAAUUCGUAGAUAUUGGGUGGAACACCGGUGGCGGAAGCGGCUCUCUGGUCCGGACCUGACGCUGAGGCGCGAAAGCGUGGGAGCAACAGG
rnacentral:rRNA from 1 species